GGCUUUAACUGACGCUGAGGCACGAAAGCGUGGGUAGCAAACAGGAUUAGAUACCCUGGUAGUCCACACUGUAAACGAUGAUUACUAGGUGUGGGGGGUCUGACCCCUUCCGUGCCGCAGUUAACACAAUAAGUAAUCCACCUGGGGAGUACGACCGCAAGGUUGAAACUCAAAGGAAUUGACGGGGGCCCGCACAAGCAGUGGAGUAUGUGGUUUAAUUCGAAGCAACGCGAAGAACCUUACCAGGUCUUGACAUCCUAAGGAUCUGCCAGAGAUGGCGGAGUGCCCUUCGGGGAAUUUAGAGACAGGUGGUGCAUGGUUGUCGUCAGCUCGUGUCGUGAGAUGUUGGGUUAAGUCCCGCAACGAGCGCAACCCUUACUGUUAGUUGCUACGCAAGAGCACUCUAGCAGGACUGCCGUUGACAAAACGGAGGAAGGUGGGGAUGACGUCAAAUCAUCAUGCCCCUUAUGACCUGGGCUACACACGUACUACAAUGGCCGUCAACAGAGGGCAGCGAAAUAGUGAUAUGGAGCAAAUCCCUAAAAACGGUCUCAGUUCAGACUGCAGGCUGCAACUCGCCUGCACGAAGGUGGAAUUGCUA
rnacentral:rRNA from 1 species